rfam:Streptomyces sp. WAC00263 NODE_2_length_153383_cov_137.586349, whole genome shotgun sequence.
CACUUAUCAAGAGAAGUGGAGGGACUGGCCCUAUGAAGCUUCGGCAACAUUGAAUCAUGUGCCAAUUCCAGUAACCUGUCUAGGUUUGAAGAUAAGGG